rnacentral:rRNA from 1 species
GAGGAUUCCGCGGCUACCAUGCAAGUCGGACGGUAGCACAGAGGAGUUUGCUCCUUGGGUGACGAGUGGCGGACGGGUGAGUAAUGUCUGGGGAUCUGCCCGAUAGAGGGGGAUAACCACUGGAAACGGUGGCUAAUACCGCAUAACGUCGCAAGACCAAAGAGGGGGACCUUCGGGCCUCUCACUAUCGGAUGAACCCAGAUGGGAUUAUCUAGUAGGCGGGGUAAUGGCCCACCUAGGCGACGAUCCCUAGCUGGUCUGAGAGGAUGACCACCCACACUGGAACUGAGACACGGUCCACACUCCUACGGGAGGCAGCAGUGGGGAAUAUUGCACAGUGGGCGCAAGCCUGAUGCACCCAUGCCGCGUGUAUGAAGAAGGCCUUCGGGUUGUAAAGUACUUUCAGCGGGGAGGAAGGCGGUGCGGUUAAUAACCGCGCCGAUUGACGUUACCCGCAAAAGAAGCACCGGCUAACUCCGUGCCAGCAGCCGCGGAAAUACGGAGGGUGCAAGCGUUAAUCGGAAUUACUGGGCGUAAAGCGCACGCAGGCGGUCUGUUAAGUCAGAUGUGAAAUCCCCGGGCUUAACCUGGGAACUGCAUUUGAAACUGGCAGGCUUGAGUCUUGUAGAGGGGGGUAGAAUUCCAGGUGUAGCGGAGAAAUGCGUAGAGAUCUGGAGGUAUACCGGUGGCGAAGGCGCCCCCCUGGACAAAGACUGACGCUCAGGUGCGAAAGCGUGGAGAGCAAACAGGAUUAGAUACCGUGGUAGCCCACGCCGUAAACGAUGUCGACUGGGAGGUUGCUCUCUUGAGGAGUGUCUUCCGGAGAUAACGCGAUAAGUCGACCGCCUGGAGAGUACGGCCGCAAGGAUAAACUCAAAUGAAUUGCGGGGGCCCGCAGAGCGGGGGAGCAUGUGUUUAUUCUAUGCACGCGAGACCUUACCUACUCUGACUCCACGUAUUGGCAGAGAUGCCUAGUGCCUCGGCACCGUGAGAAGUGCUG